GCACGACUUGGCCUACCCCCCUUUUUCUCUGUCUUCUUCCUCCCAUCUUCUUCCUUCCUCCUUCUUCCGCCUCUGCAAGUCCCGCGCUCCGACGAAGACGCGCUUGAGCACCACCUACAGUAGAGAGAGGAGCGUAGGCCGGUGGCUGAGAGGACGCAGCAUUGAUGGCGAGCGAGCCUCCGUGGAAGGGGGGGAACUGACGCCGGUUCGGCCGACGAAGGAAGGCCGGUUAGUGCACCAAAGACCGCCGGUCUAGCCUUUGCCGACCAGCACCCCCACGCCUAUAAAUAGGGUGUCGGGGGGGAAGGC
rnacentral:lncRNA from 1 species